GUGCCAGCCGCCGCGGUAAUACGGAGGGUGCAAGCGUUGUUCGGAAUUACUGGGCGUAAAGGGCGCGCAGGCGGCCAUAUAAGUCAGAUGUGAAAGCCCCCGGCUUAACCGAGGAAGUGCAUCUGAAACUGCAUGGCUUGAGUAUGGGAGAGGGAAGUGGAAUUCCCGGUGUAGAGGUGAAAUUCGUAGAUAUCGGGAGGAACACCGGUGGCGAAAGCGACUUCCUGGACCAAUACUGACGCUGAGGCGCGAAAGCGUGGGGAGCAAACAGGAUUAGAAACCCCCGUAGUCC
rnacentral:rRNA from 1 species